rnacentral:rRNA from 1 species
AUUGAACGCUGGCUGCAGGCCUAACACAUGCAAGUCGAACGAGAGGCGGACGGGUGAGUAUUGCAUGGGAACCUGCUUGACGGAGGGGGAUAACUACUUUAAACGGUAGCUAAUACCGCAUACCAUCAGAAGUGCCCAGAUGGGAUUAGCUAGUUGGUGGGGUAACGGACCACCCAGGCGACGAUCCGUCGCUGGUCUGAGAGGAUGACCAGCCACACUGGAACUGAGACACGGUCCGGACUCCUACGGGAGGCAACAGAGGGGAAUAGUGCACUAGGGGCGCAAGCCUGAUGCGGCCAUGCCGCGUGUAUGGAAAGGGCAUUAGGGUUGUAGAGUACUUUCAGCGGGAAGGCGUUAUCCGCAGAAGAAGCACCGGCUAACUCCGUGCCAGCAGCCGCGGUAAUAC